GAUUAAUCCUAUUUAUAAUAACAUGAAGAAAGAUGGGGUUGUUCCCAAUGUGUAUACUCAUAACAUUCUUUUGAAAGCAUUGUGCAAGAAUAAUAGGGUAGAUGGAGCUCUGAAGUUACUCAUGGAAAUGUCGAACAAGGUGUGUUCUCCUGAUGAAGUGAGCUAUACAACAAUUGUGUCUUCCUUGUGUAAGUUUGGUAAAGUAAGAGAAGCCA
rnacentral:misc_RNA from 1 species